ACAUUCCAGAGUGCCUAAGUUGGUCAUUGUAUGAAAUUUUUUAUUAUUAUUUAAUUCCUCACUUACCUACCCACACUGUGAUCAGUGAACCUAGCUUUUGCCAUCGUUCAAUUCUCUAGGCGCCCAUUAUCCUUAUCCCUUCAUCUUCACAUCUCUAUUUUAUUUCUCUCUCAAUCUCUCACCUCGACUCGUCUGUUUUUUUUUUCUUCGCAGUAAUACUUCACCCCUUUCUUUUUCUCUCUGCAAGUUUACAUAAUUGUUCUCUCAACCGAGCUCUAAAUUGUUUCAAUCAUAUCACUUGAAAAAGAAAAUUCAAUUAAAAGUAAAUUUCGUAAAACCCUAAUUUUUUCUUCAGCUCUAGUAUGUUGUAUGGGUUUGAAGGUUCAAUAUGAACAGGAAUUAUUAUAAGAGCAAUUAUCAUCCUCACUUGGACUUCUCAACAUUUUUAGGUACAAAUCCCCUGAAAUUUUUGUACCAGUUCACUAAGGUGUGAUAAACAAAAGGGUUCAUAUAAGAUGCAAGUCUACUAACUCUGUUGAAGAAAUCUAAGCUCUGGACAAGCUCAGGGACCUAGAGGAGGAGGAGGAGGAGGAGGAGGAGGAGGAGGAGUAGGGACGCAGACACUAAUAACCAACGAUUCCCUAGCCUAUAUCAAAGAUGUAAAGGACAUGUUUCAGGAUAGGAAAGACAAAUAUGAUGAGUUCUUGGAAGUUAUGUAAGAUUUGAAGGCUCAAAGAAUUGACACAACAUGGGCUAUAGCUAGGGGGAGGAUUUUUUUAAAGAGCAUUGAAACCUUAUUUUGGGUUUCAGUACCUUUUUUACCUGAAAGUUAUGAGAUAACCCUCCCACUUGAGGACGAGCAACAACCUAAGAAACUUGUAGAAUUUGAUGAAGCCAUUAACUUCGUUAACGAAAUAAAGACAAAAUUCAAAGAUAAUGACCAGGUUUACAAAUCUUUCCUAGAUACAUUGAAUCUGUACCGGAAAGAAAACAAGUCCAUCGCUGAUGUUUAUGCCUAGGCAGUUGUUUGUAGUCUUUGUUCAGUCAAGUUGAUGUGUCUGGAAACCGAAAGGCAGUUGUCAUCCACGAUCCCUAUAGACUAUGAAAAGGCUUCAAGAAAAUUCAUGUGAGGCUUGUGAAAGAGCUUGAAAAUAAGUUCAGUUGAAAGGGUGAUAACAAGUCAAUUGGAAGGGGUGCAAAACAAUUUCCAGCAUCUUAGACACACGAGGCCAACCUUGUUGUCUUCCCAAGGCGUGCAGGAUAAUUCAAGGUAAAAAAACAUUUAUGCCGGCCUCUAUGUAUCUUCUCCAGUUUUUUUACCUUGCCUAUAUGGUCACAUUUAUGUUUAUAGUUCUAGCUGCAUUCCAAUAUUUUGCUUCUCCAAGUACUUCUUCCUCAAUUGCUUUUCGACCAAAACUCAUUUGUAUUCACCACUUUUCGUUCUAAUAUGCUUAAAUCAACAAGAAAUAACAUCAAUUAAGAACCACCUUUUACUAGAGCCCUUUUCGCUUUCCCACGACGAAACCGGUUUUUUUUCGAGUUUUCCUUCGUUCUUCAACUUCUCCUUCUGGUUUUCCCUCCGCCAUGAGCGGAUAAGAAGCCGUUCAUAGGCUAUGAUGGGGGUUAAUCACAUAGUUUUUUAGGGUUUCUGCUCACAGGGGUCUUAUUGGUUGUUUAGUGGAUUUAAUUUUUAAUUUGGAACAAGGUUAGUGGAGGUGACAGUCUGAUAAUCCGGAUGCAACAGUUAUCAGUGCACUUGAGUAUUAAUCGAUACAUAAAUUGUCAGGUAAUGAUUUCCUUUAAUCUCAUCGAUUUUGAUCCUAGUUCUUCAUCGAUUCUGCUAUUAUGCUCGACUUUACUCUUCCCCAAUCUUUAACCCUUUGUCAUUUGUUGAAUUUCUUCUCAAUUUGUUACACUUGGAGAUUUCCCUUAAAACCCUAAUUUUUUAAUUUGAUUUGAGUUGAGAAAUUUGUGAUUUUUUACAAUCCUUUGGGAUUCCAUUUUUUAAUACCUAAUUCUCACUACUCUCCCAAACCCCAAUUUCCCCUUUAUAAGCACUGUAAGUUGUAGUUUUUUACCUGUUAUGCUCUCCCCUCUCUGCAAAACCUUAUAGUUUUUCUCAGUUUAUCACAACCAUCAAUACCUAUUUGUGUAGCUUUUUAGCUGAGUUUUCUGUAUCACCAUGUAUGUUGUUUGGCAUGGUUAUGUGUCUCAAUUAACAAAUCAACUUGAAAUCUCUUUGAAUCUGAGUCAAGGUAGACAGUUUGAUGUUAAUGAAAUCAUUCCAUCAAGGUACCUGAAUAAUGAAGACUUGUGGACAAGCUUUUUGUUGGGUAGGUUUGCUGAACCUGUAGCAAGGAAUAGUUGGGAUGUGAGAAAUGCCUUGCUUUUCCAGUGGAAGAUUCAAGGAGGUCUAUCUGUGAAGAUGGUGAGUGACUGGAUUCUUCUAGUGAGAUUUGAAAGGGAAGAUGAGAUGCAUAAAGUGUUGGUAGUUGCAACAAGAGUGGUUUAUGGAGACUUAUUCUGCAUCAAAAUCUGGGAGAGAACUGAAAACUUUAACCACUUGGAGUCCUCCAACUGAGAUGUUCUUCAUAACCAUUCACAACUUAACUCAUGCUCAGUUAAACAGUGAUAACUUGAGAAGAUAUUUGGCCUAUAUGGGAGACAUUUCAUCCUUCUCCUACCCUAUUAGGAAGGAAAAUGGAAGUUACUCCAUAACUGUGAGGGCAAGCAUCAGAUACAAACAAAGACUAUGCUUUAGUGCGAUGGCUGAAAAUGAGAUGGGAUUUACUAUUGAGAUCAGGUUUCAAUUUCAUCAUUUUCCAAACAAUUUUUGUGACUAUUGCAAAUUGAUUGGCCAUAAGUUUCAGAACCGUCAACAACAACUAUUUGAUCAGCAGCAGGCUGAACAACAACAGGCAGCAGCAGAUGCUAUUAUGGCUGCAAUGCAACUAUUUGAUGCACAACAACAUGAAGCAAUUGUGAAUCAGCAGCCAGAGGUUCCAGUGAUGCAGCAGCAGGGGUUAAAUUAUCAUGAAGAUAGUUUAGACAGUGCAGAGACAGGUCAUGCUUUGUCUGAGGUUACUUGCACUGAGUACCUCAAGCAUUUGGAGGUGGAAGAUGCUAGCCAGAACAGUGAUAAGGGCAUCUCAAUGGGCAAGACUGGUGCUGGUACUUCUAGUAACCAUCUUCUGAGGGCUGAUGCACUUCCAUUUUACCAUAAUUCAGACUGGAACAAAGAUUCUUAUAUGUGGAAGGUUGUCUAAAAAGGGAUAAACCUGGUCAAGGGCUGAAUAUGGAUUUGUAGGAUCAGAAUCUCGCUAUGACAAUGUUUCAGCGAAAUUAUCAAUGACACAUCACAACAGCGUCGCAGAACAAUUUCAGAAAUGAUAAAAUAAAUGACGUCAGCUAAGAUCACGAGAAAGAUAUGAUAGUCCUGCGAAAAUUAGAGAGUUUCCGAAAUUAACAUUUGUAAGGUUGCGAGAAUAUCGCAGACCAUACCCGAAAAUAAAGGACAGUAGCUGUCAUCCACUAUGUAUUUCCUUAUAAAUAGUCGUUCUAGUUGUAAAAAGAGAGGGAGAUUUUUUUGAGUAAAAAACAAGUAAAUAGGAGAGAGAAAGUCUAGAGUAGAGAUCAUUCUUGAUUUCUUUAUCUUUUCUUGUAAGAACAUUCAAAUAUUGAUCAAUAAAAUUAAGAGUG